CUGCAUCUCCAGCUGCUGGUCGUCAGCGGGUUGCUGCAGGCUUCUGCCUGGCCUGGCUAACGAGGGGUUGCUUUGGAACGGUGUAGAACCAAAUGCAGCAGUGGAUACUGGAGGAAUGUGCCCAACACCUUGCUCUAAGGGGCUCCCCAGGAACCAUCAGUGGAACAAGUUACUGGGAAUGUGUUGAGUCUCCUUAACUGGGGAGAGGACCCAACGAUGUUACCAUUCAUGUUGAAGAGUGUUACCCCCGUGGAGAGCACAGACCUUAGGAUUAGGAUGGUAUGAGGUCAGGAUUGACUGGACAAAGAUGGAUGAGCAAUGGUAAGUACCAUUCAUCAGUUCAUGAUGAAUAUUCGUUUCUCAUGGAAAGACAGAUUAUCUGUAAAGUCUUACCAAUUAGGCCUGCAAAGGAAACAAAUACAGGUGUGGUCCAACUGGAGGAGUAAGAAAACACGGAUGGCAUUUGAAAAGACCCUGAUGCUGGGAAGGAUUGAAGGCAGGAGGAGAAGGGGACGACAGAGGAUGAGAUGGCUGGAUGGCAUCACCGACUCCAUGGACAAGAAUUUGGGUGAAAUCUGGGAGUUGGUGAUGGAUAGGGAGGCCUGGCGUCGCCAAGAGUCGGACACGACUGAGCGACUGAACUGAACUGAACUGAUGGCAUAGGAAAGCAUGUUCCACAUUUUGUCAGUGUUGUCUCUGUUAGUAAUUAUAUUACAGUCCAUUUGCAAUACAUGUAUUUUUAAAUUCAGAAGAGUGAAUGAACUCUUUAAUACCAGACUGCAAACUCUUCAGUACUGUUUGGCCCCUAGAUAAAUACAGAACUUGAAAGUAAGGGUUUAGAAAAUCUUAUAGAUAUUUAACAGAGUAAUUUUAUGGUUACUGAUUCUAAUAAUAAAACAAGGGGUUGUGUUUUGUAUGUCUUUUUU
rnacentral:lncRNA from 1 species